rnacentral:tRNA from 3 species
GCGGGAGUGGCGGAAUUGGCAGACGCGCCGGACUUAGGAUCCGGUGGGUUAAACCGUAAGGGUUCAAAUCCCUUCUCCCGCACCA